CCUACGGGUGGCUGCAGUGGGGGAUAUUGCACAAUGGGGGGAACCCUGAUGCAGCGACGCCGCGUGGGUGAAGAAGCGCCUCGGCGCGUAAAGCCCUGUCAGCAGGGAAGAAAAUGACGGUACCUGAAGAAGAAGCCCCGGCUAACUACGUGCCAGCAGCCGCGGUAAUACGUAGGGGGCAAGCGUUAUCCGGAUUUAUGGGGUUUAAAGGGUGCGCAGGCGGAGGCACAAGUCAGCGGUAAAAUCGCGGGGCUCAACCCCGCUCCGCCGUUGAAACUGUGUCCCUUGAGUGCGCGAAGGGUAGGCGGAAUGCGUGGUGUAGCGGUGAAAUGCAUAGAUAUCACGCAGAACUCCGAUCGCGAAGGCAGCCUACCGGCGCGCAACUGACGCUCAUGCACGAAAGCGUGGGUAUCGAACAGGAUUAGAUACCCCGGUAGUC
rnacentral:rRNA from 1 species